AAAUCAAAAUCACACCUAUAAUAUCGUUAUACAAAAGCGUUAUAGGGAUUUUAAGGACACACUUACAGUUAACCAACUAGGAAACAAUGAUCACAUCUGUAAAGUCUGGUAAAUGUAGAAUUUUUGAGGUGCUCGCCAUUUUCACUGCCAAAGUUUCACAGACUUUAAACACUUGUAGGUUAACAGGCUCCGAAAUCUGCAAAUGAAGUAGAUCUGCCAAUUCUUCAAUGUGGAAUAGAAACACGACCGAAUCGACGUGAAAUGUAGAAAGCUCUUUGUAUCUUGAACGCAAGUCGUAGUCGAUGUGAAGAAAGCUUUUCAAAUCUUGCAGAAUGUUCUUCGAAUGCAAAACCCGGGCGAAGGUCUCGUCAAGAAGCUCUUCAAAUCUUGCAGAAUGGAGCCUAGAUGUAGAAAUGUGUCCAACCCAACGCCUAGUACUUCUAGUAGCAGUUCAUAGUGUUUCCACCGCCACAGCUCCCACCGCCAUGGCCAUGGGCCCGGCAGCAAUCAGCCUGUUCUUCUGAUUUACGGCCGCAGACCUCGUCACACGCCCCGACAUGGACUGCCACGGCGGUUGCCAUGACAAUCGCCAACACGACGAGGAUAAGCAGAGUCUUGAGGGCAGCCAUCUUG